rnacentral:rRNA from 1 species
CCUACGGGUGGCAGCAGUCGAGAAUCAUUCACAAUGGGGGAAACCCUGAUGGUGCGACGCCGCGUGGGGGAAUGAAGGUCUUCGGAUUGUAAACCCCUGUCAUGUGGGAGCAAAUUAAAAAGAUAGUACCACAAGAGGAAGAGACGGCUAACUCUGUGCCAGCAGCCGCGGUAAUACAGAGGUCUCAAGCGUUGUUCGGAAUCACUGGGCGUAAAGCGUGCGUAGGCUGUUUCGUAAGUCGUGUGUGAAAGGGGCGGGCUCAACCUGCGGACGGCAGAUGAUACUGGGAGACUAGAGUAAUGGAGGGGGAGCCGGAAUUCGCGGUGUAGCAGUGAAAUGCGUAGAUAUCGAGAGGAACACUCGUGGCGAAGGCAGGUUCCUGGACAUUAACUGACGCUGAGGCACGAAGGCCAGGGGAGCGAAAGGGAUUAGAUACCCCUGUAGUC